rnacentral:rRNA from 1 species
AGAGUUUGAUCAUGGCUCAGAACGAACGCUGGCGGCGUGCUUAACACAUGCAAGUCGAGUGCGCGCCUGUAGCAAUACAGGUGGCGCACGGCGCACGGGUGCGUAACACGUGGGUAAUCUGCCCUCUGAUGGGGAAUAACUCGCCGAAAGGCGAGCUAAUUCCGCAUAAUAUUCCGAGAACCUCGGUUUUUGGACUGAAAGGCGUAAGUCGUCGGAGGAGGAGCCCGCGCACGAUUAGCUAGUUGGUAGGGUAAUGGCCUACCAAGGCUUUGAUCGUUAGCUGGUCUGAGAGGAUGGCCAGCCACACUGGAACUGAGACACGGUCCAGACUCCUACGGGAGGCAGCAGUGGGGAAUCUUGCACAAUGGGCGAAAGCCUGAUGCAGCGACGCCGCGUGGGGGAUGAAGCUUCUCGGAGUGUAAACCCCUUUCGAUCCGGACGAAUGCCCGCAAGGGAUUGACGGUACGGAUAUAAGAAGCCCCGGCUAACUACGUGCCAGCAGCCGCGGUAAUACGUAGGGGGCCAGCGUUGUUCGGAAUUACUGGGUGUAAAGGGUUCGUAGGCGGUGCGGCAAGUUGGGAGUGAAAUCUCUGGGCUCAACCCAGAGACGGCUUCCAAAACUGCUGUGCUUGAGUGUGAGAGAGGCUCGUGGAAUUGCAGGUGUAGCGGUGAAAUGCGUAGAUAUCUGCAGGAACACCCGUGGCGAAAGCGGCGAGCUGGAUCACUACUGACGCUGAAGAACGAAAGCUAGGGGAGCAAACAGGAUUAGAUACCCUAGUAGUCC